rnacentral:rRNA from 1 species
CCUACGGGGGGCAGCAGUGAGGAAUAUUGGUCAAUGGACGAGAGUCUGAACCAGCCAAGUAGCGUGAAGGAUGACUGCCCUAUGGGUUGUAAACUUCUUUUAUAUGGGAAUAAAAUGUUCCACGUGUGGGAUUUUGUAUGUACCAUAUGAAUAAGGAUCGGCUAACUCCGUGCCAGCAGCCGCGGUAAUACGGAGGAUCCGAGCGUUAUCCGGAUUUAUUGGGUUUAAAGGGAGCGUAGGUGGAUUGUUAAGUCAGUUGUGAAAGUUUGCGGCUCAACCGUAAAAUUGCAGUUGAAACUGGCAGUCUUGAGUACAGUAGAGGUGGGCGGAAUUCGUGGGGUAGCGGUGAAAUGCUUAGAUAUCACGAAGAACUCCGAUUGCGAAGGCAGUUCACUGGACUGCAACUGACACUGAGGCUCGAAAGUGUGGGUAUCAAACAGGAUUAGAUACCCCUGUAGUC